rnacentral:rRNA from 1 species
GACGAACGCUGGCGGCGUGCCUAAUACAUGCAAGUAGAACGCACAGUUUAUACCGUAGCUUGCUACACCAUAGACUGUGAGUUGCGAACGGGUGAGUAACGCGUAGGUAACCUGCCUGGUAGCGGGGGAUAACUAUUGGAAACGAUAGCUAAUACCGCAUAAUAUUAAUUAUUGCAUGAUAAUUGAUUGAAAGAUGCAACUGCAUCACUACCAGAUGGACCUGCGUUGUAUUAGCUAGUAGGUGAGGUAACGGCUCACCUAGGCGACGAUACAUAGCCGACCUGAUAGGGUGAUCGGCCACCCUGGGACUGUGACACGGCCCAGACUCCUACGGGAAGCAGCCGUAGGGAAUCUUCGGCAAUGGACGAAAGUCUGACCGAGCAACGCCGCGUGAGUGAAGAAGGGUUUCGGAUCGGAAAGCUCUGUUGUCAGAGAAGAACGGGUGUGAGAGUGGAAAGUUCACACUGUGACGGUAUCUUACCAGAAAGGGACGGCUAACUACGUG